AGGACGAACGCUGGCGGCGUGCCUAACACAUGCAAGUCGAACGGAACAGUUUGAAGCUUGCUUUGAACUGUUUAGUGGCGGACGGGUGAGUAACGCGUGAGGAACCUGCCUUUCAGAGGGGGAUAACGUCUGGAAACGGACGCUAAUACCGCAUGACAUUCCGAGAUCACAUGGUUUUGGAAUCAAAGGAGCAAUCCGCUGAAAGAUGGACUCGCGUCCGAUUAGCCAGUUGGCGGGGUAAAGGCCCACCAAAGCAACGAUCGGUAGCCGGGCUGAGAGGCUGAACGGCCACAUUGGGACUGAGACACGGCCCAGACUCCUACGGGAGGCAGCAGUGGGGGAUAUUGCACAAUGGAGGAAACUCUGAAUGCAGCAACGCCGCGUGAGGGAAGAAGGUCUUCGGAUUGUAAACCUUUGUCCUCGGUGACGAUAAUGACGGUAGCCGAGGAGGAAGCUCCGGCUAACUACGUGCCAGCAGCCGC
rnacentral:rRNA from 1 species